ensembl:snoRNA small nucleolar RNA snR60/Z15/Z230/Z193/J17
CCAAUACAGUGAUGAUAACAUAGUUCAGCAGACUAAUGCUGAUGAACAAUCACAAGUCUUUCGCUCCUAUCUGAUGUAUCUG